rnacentral:rRNA from 1 species
GAUGAACGCUGGCGGCGUGCCUAAUACAUGCAAGUCGAGCGAACAGACGAGGAGCUUGCUCCUCUGACGUUAGCGGCGGACGGGUGAGUAACACGUGGAUAACCUACCUAUAAGACUGGGAUAACUUCGGGAAACCGGAGCUAAUACCGGAUAAUAUAUUGAACCGCAUGGUUCAAUAGUGAAAGACGGCUUUGCUGUCACUUAUAGAUGGACCCGCGCCGCAUUAGCUAGUUGGUAAGGUAACGGCUUACCAAGGCAACGAUGCGUAGCCGACCUGAGAGGGUGAUCGGCCACACUGGAACUGAGACACGGUCCAGACUCCUACGGGAGGCAGCAGUAGGGAAUCUUCCGCAAUGGGCGAAAGCCUGACGGAGCAACGCCGCGUGAGUGAUGAAGGUCUUCUGAUCGUAAAACUCUGUUAUUAGGGAAGAACAAAUGUGUAAGUAACUAUGCACGUCUUGACGGUACCUAAUCAGAAAGCCACGGCUAACUACGUG